rnacentral:rRNA from 1 species
AAUGAACGCUGGCGGCAGGCCUAAAACAUGCAAGUCGAACGCCCUAGCAAUAGGGAGUGGCGCACGGGUGAGUAACAUGUGGGAAUAUGCCUUUUGGUACGGAACAACGUUUGGAAACGAACGCUAAUACCGUAUGGUCCCUCCGGGGUAAAGAUUUAUCGCCAAAAGAUUAGCGCCGCACUAGAUUAGCUAGUUGGUAAGGUAAUGGCUUACCAAGGCGACGAUCUAUAGCUGUUCUGAGAGGAAGAUCAGCCACACUGGGACUGAGACACGGCCCAGACUCCUACGGGAGGCGGCAGUUAGGAAUAUUGGACAAUGGGCGCAAGCCUGAUCCAGCCAGGCCGCGUGAGUGAUGAAGGCCUUCGGGUUGUAAAGCUCUUUAGCCGACGAAUAUAAUGACUGUAGUCGGAGAAUAAGCCCCGGCUAACUUCGUGCCAGCCGCCGCGGUAAAAC